AUUCAUUUCAAAUUUAACAAAUGGGAUCACUCAAAUAUGACAUGUCACAUUUAUCCAAAUUUGAGAAGAAAAAAAAUUCUAAUCCGUGUCACGCUGUCGUUUUCUGCCAUUAUUAAAUUGUUAAAGAACUUCAACCAAAAUUUGGAAGAAUAAAAAUUUCCAAAAAAUAAAGAAGAAAAGAACGUUGUUUUUCACGACGCACUGUGAAUUAUGAGGGUGACCAUCUGUUUGUCCACAUGGGAAAAGCAUCUUUUCUCAAAUCAUCCCAGGCAAAAACGUGAAUCUGGGCAUUAUCAUUCUCGCCAUACCAUCUCGUGGGGAAAAAACAGAAAGAGAGUUCAGUCCCUUUACGCAUCCAAACAAUGACACUGACCCUUGACAUGAUUUUCAUAUCACACGUCCAAAUACCCUUUUGAAGCCUUCAGUUUUGUAGAACAAACCUGCAUAAGCAUCAGAUGGAUAUGGAUAUACAGUGUGUGCUUGCUUUUUCAGAUCUGCGCCUCCUGUUUGAGCUGUCUUUAAGCUGUAAUGUACACCCACCCCACCUCUGAUUACUCCUUUAGUGGGCUUUCUCAUGAUUCAUUUCAAAUUUUAUGAUAAUUAUACGACAGAGACAGUCGGCUUCUUACACUUACGUAAGUCAUAAACUACCGACAGAGUUAAUCAUAGUUAAAUAACUCUAAACUCAAAUUUGAAAG
rnacentral:lncRNA from 1 species